UCCGGCGGCGCCUCAGGGCCCCCCGCGCCCCCACACCCGGCGCUGGGGGAGCCACGGCUGCUGGGCACAGGCCCCCAUCCCCUCAGGGAGCACCGGGGCCGCACACACGUCCUCGUCCCGGCACGUGGGAGGGACCAGGCUGAGGCCAAACUCGAGUUUCAGCCCCUGCCUUCCCUGGAAAUCGCUCCUAACGCGAGCUGCGUUCCCCUUGGGCCACUUCCUCAGCCACCUCAGGCCUGCCUGAAAUGAGGGACAAAGCUGAGGGGCCACCAGGAGAGGGGGGGGCCUGCCCACACCACAGAUCGAGGCAGGGUGAGGAGCCACAUUGUGAGGCAGCAGCAGAGGUAGGAACGCAGAGGUUAGCUCAUCCCACCCAGCACCGCUGCCAGGAUGGCGAUACUGCUUACCCAGCACCUCAGGGCUCACCCUCAGCCCUGACCCUGCUCCAUUAGUAAGCAAGAUUCUACAUCAGAAGAAACUUAAAGGAAUGGAGAAGCAACUGAGGAACACACAGGCAAAAUGCUAAUACAGACAAUAAGUAUGCACAUGGAAGUUAAAUUACUGAUCUGGGAAAAUAAUCAAGAGAUCAGCUGAGUCAAGCAGAACAUGAACGCGUGACUGCAAGGAACCAGGAUCUCGGGAGCACAACUUGCAGCACCACUUCACCAGCUUUCCUGCCUGGGUAAGCAGAACACACAGCCCUGAGAAUGAUUUUCAGAGGGAUGCUAAAGCCCCACUUAUCUAAAUCUACCCCCAAGGGACAGGAACCUGCCACCUUUCCCACUCCUCUCAGCUCUAUCCUGGUCUGCCUGCUUCACUCUAGGUGCGCUCACUGUUCUCUUCUCUCCUUCCCUCCCUCCAUCAUACCCAGGAAUUUAAUCAAGACAGGUAAGCCUUUCUCAGCAGACUGGCAUGCUUCCCAGUCCUUAUCACCACUGUCCUCCCUACUGGGGAUUUGUAGUAAAAUUAAUGGUGGCACAAGCUGAGUUAUCACAGCUUUUAAAGGAGAAAGUGUCCGAUGGCUCUGUGGCAGAAGCACUGUAUCAGCGGAAUAUGCUUUAAAUUAUUCUUACAGUAUCAGUGAAAAAUAAGGUCCUUUUGGUAGAGGCAUACCUGUGUGGUAUGCUUAAUAAGUAACCUGGGUGAAACUGGAUUGAAACACAGCAGUACAUCCUGAGUUUCCUAUUGCACUGGGUUUGAAAACUUCAGGUGUUACAGCAAGUUUUUUGGUAAGUGUAGCUAUAGGUACAAAGCCAUUAAAGCUCAUGCUUGGCCUUUGACAAAAAGUAACAUCUUAUCCACUAAUAACACCAUCAAGCCAAAUCUGCAACCGCAACUCUAAAAAUUAGCUAAUUAAAGCUCCCAUCGCCAGGAGAGAGAGGGUGAUCAAGUGCUACUUUGUCUCCUGCCAGAAAGGAGCCACCCCCGAAGCAAAGGGCAGCAGCUGUUUCCCAGCACACAAGUCAGUAAACUGUAGAGCGCGGCCCGAGAAAUGCCACUUCCAAAUAAAACGGGGAGGAGUGUUAUGGGAUUGCUUGGGAAUACAGCUGGAAAGGGGCCAGCAAUUAGUAUGCAUGAAGGCUGGUCCUGUAUGAAUGAUAGAAACGGGAGCAGCUGCUUAGGAUAGGAAAAUACGAUUUGGUCUCUGUGAGAACUCAUCACAUGGUGUGGUUCAAAAUCGACUCACUAUCAGGUCAAAGAACGAUUAAGGUAGGUUUGGUUUUGUUUUGUUUUGUUUUUUUUCUUUGGCGUGAACUUACAGGCCCUCUCUUCAAGAGUUCUCAUUUUGCUUUGGAAAAGGUUUGUGCCCCAGCACAAAGUGGGUUUUAGUCAGGCUCUGCUCUGUGCCUAAUAUUACAGAAGUAGAGUCUGAAGGGAUGGCAGGAGCUAACCUAUGUCAGAGGGCACAGCAAUGGCUUUGCUUUGGAAAUCAGUGGACAAGGAAUUGGUCUUUAAGUACACAAACACGGGCGAACCAGUACCUGCAGGAUCACUUCCCCCACCUUGGAAAAAUCACCACUUCCAACACAAAAUGCGUCGCAGAUCAGUGGGGCACAGUGACCCUGUGCAGCCCAAAGAGAGUAACACACUACCAGGAGCUGCAGAGGCUCCUGCUUGCAGCAAGUCAAACCACAGGACAGAGCUGAACUCCAGAAGAUGGGUUGUUUCCCCUACAAAACUGCACAACAAAGACUUUUCGUCUGUGACCAGAGCUCUGCCACCUGCAUGCAUGCUCCUCUCCUUCCCAAGGGCAUAGCAGUCUGGAGGGGACAGAAUUAUCAGCUACAGUUUUAAAUCAUCCUCUGCCCUAACGUUUACCUUAGCAAAUUACGAAAGGCUUUGUUUAUGCAGAUAGACGCAACAUGGCCUUCAGUGUCAGCAAGAACCAGCUAAAGGAAGCAUAUGAAUGAAAGAGCAGGUACAGGAUAUUGAGUCCUUCUCAAAAGAUCCCAUGAAGAUAGAGCCCGCUGAUUUGCCUGGCUGAGAAAGACACUAACAACAAAAGGAACCAGUUUGUGUUCUCAGUUGUAUUAAAGAUGUAACACUUCGUUCCAGUGCUUUGCUCAUCUGAACACUUCCAGACAAGCAAACAGUCAUGACUGCACCAUCCCCUUUUAAUUCUCCAAAGAAAUCCUGCCAGCAGGAAUAAAAUCCUAAAAUGCAUCUUCUGCAACUGGGAACUCUGUUCUGAGUGGCAGUUAUCACUGAGUAGCAACCACAGUAUGAGGGUGAUGCAGAAUGUUUUGGUCUUCAUGCUAAUUUGCUGCAGUUAAAAUCUGACAAUAUAGUCUCUACUCCUUAUUAAUCACCUCCUGAUUUUCACUGUUUUAUAACCAUCCUGGAAAUAAAAACUUAAAUCCAGAUCUAUUUGCCUCAUGACUGUUGGAAGCCUGAAGUGACUUAUAAAAAGGCUCGUAAGCAAGCUUACAAAUAUAUAAAACUGACAGUGAAUCCCUCUCACCCACUGGGCAAGUAAACACACUUGAGAAACUCCAGAAGGAGCCAACUCUGUGCAAUAGAAGUUUUGCCAUUUACUGUGACAACCCCAGCCCUGCUGUCAGCACGUAUCCAGGGCAAGGGCCAUGCAACAACCAGAAUGCCUGCUCCAUCCUUCCCCCUCUCCAUCCCUUCCUUAUUUCCUCCCUAGCAGUGGAUGGGAAAUGAGCACGCUGUUCAGAGGCACAAAUGUCUCAUUUUCUCAUUUCCAAGAGCCACUGAGACCUGGAAACUCAGCACAGCUCUAGCAGUAGUUUGCAGUUCAUGCCUGUUGCACCCAGGCCUGAACGGAUGAGCGAAUAGUUAGCUGUUGUCGACGAGGAGGAUCACUGACAGAUAAUGCUUGGCACAGCUCAUGGGCAUGUAGGCUGAGUGGAAAGGCAAAACCUUACUGGAAUAACGAGGAACCCCCGAGACCUUAUUCUCAGCAGAUCUUUGUCCCAGGCAAGCAGCAGAGCACAAUUCUGCAACGUAAUGAUGUGCUGUAUUUUCCCCUUCCUCUCCCUCACUCUGAAAGCCACACAGAUAACCCUUUCUGUUCCCACCAAAAGCCUUCAUGCCUGCAGGAUUCUUCACAUGGCAAGGAAGAGCAUGAGCUGUCCCCACCCUUUGCUUUUACCUUCAAGAGGGCAGAACACUGUAAGGCUGAAAUUUCAA